rnacentral:rRNA from 1 species
UACAGAGGUCUCAAGCGUUGUUCGGAUUCAUUGGGCGUAAAGGGCGCGUAGGCGGCGGGGUAAGUCGGGUGUGAAAUCUCAGGGCUCAACCCUGAAACUGCACUCGAUACUGCUCUGCUUGAGGACUGGAGAGGAGACUGGAAUUCACGGUGUAGCAGUGAAAUGCGUAGAUAUCGUGAGGAAGACCAGUGGCGAAGGCGGGUCUCUGGACAGUUCCUGACGCUGGGGCACGAAGGCCAGGGGAGCAAACGGG